rnacentral:rRNA from 1 species
UAGGGAAUCUUCGGCAAUGGACGAAAGUCUGACCGAGCAACGCCGCGUGAGUGAAGAAGGUUUUCGGAUCGUAAAACUCUGUUGUUAGAGAAGAACAAGGACGUUAGUAACUGAACGUCCCCUGACGGUAUCUAACCAGAAAGCCACGGCUAACUACGUGCCAGCAGCCGCGGUAAUACGUAGGAGGCAAGCGUUGUCCGGAUUUAUUGGGCGUAAAGCGAGCGCAGGCGGUUUCUUAAGUCUGAUGUGAAAGCCCCCGGCUCAACCGGGGAGGGUCAUUGGAAACUGGGAGACUUGAGUGCAGAAGAGGAGAGUGGAAUUCCAUGUGUAGCGGUGAAAUGCGUAGAUAUAUGGAGGAACACCAGUGGCGAAGGCGGCUCUCUGGUCUGUAACUGACGCUGAGGCUCGAAAGCGUGGGGAGCAAACA